rnacentral:snoRNA from 1 species
UCUGCCCCUAGAGAUAUUGCAAGUGUGGCUUCCGUAUCACACCUGCAUUAGUUGGUGACAGAGAGGAGAGCUGAUAUGACUACACUCGGUGUUCUGAUCUGUGAACAUAUGAAUGAUUAGUAGCCUAGCACA